GCAAACUAGGAGAUGGCGACCGGCGCACGGGUGAGUAACACGUAUCCAACCUGCCGAUAACUCGGGGAUAGCCUUUCGAAAGAAAGAUUAAUACCCGAUGGCAUAAUAGAACCGCAUGGUUUGAUUAUUAAAGAAAUUUCGGUUAUCGAUGGGGAGUGCGUUCCAUUAGGCAGUUGGUGGGGUAACGGCCCACCAAACCUUCGAUGGAUAGGGGUUCUGAGAGGAAGGUCCCCCACAUUGGAACUGAGACACGGUCCAAACUCCUACGGGAGGCAGCAUG
rnacentral:rRNA from 1 species